GCUUUUACUGCCUGCACAUCUGUAAUGUGUACUGUGUAACCACAGAGAUAGCCUUGUGGAAAGGAGGUUCCCUAAAGGAGAAGCACGCAUGGCAAAGGGUCAAGUGAGUCCUGCCUGUGUCACUCUUUGAAGCGCUGGUUCCAAUUGCAGUUACUAAGACAUCUGCUGUAAGCAAUCUUACAAGGUUUUAAAACAACCACAAUACCCCUCUGAGGAGUUUUUACUGCAACAUGGAAAGUGGAAGAAAUCUUCC